rnacentral:tRNA from 5 species
UUUUCUAUAGUGUAAAUAACACUUAACACCUUCAUUGUUAUAAUAGAGUAAUCUUAGAAACA